AGCACAGUGGUAGAGCACUUGCCUAGCAUGCAUGAAGCCCUGGGUUCAACCCCCAG
rnacentral:tRNA from 1 species